CCUACGGGAGGCAGCAGUAGGGAAUCUUCCGCAAUGGACGAAAGUCUGACGGAGCAACGCCGCGUGAACGAUGAAGGCCUUCGGGUCGUAAAGUUCUGUUGUUAGGGAAGAACAAGUGCUAGUUGAAUAAGCUGGCACCUUGACGGUACCUAACCAGAAAGCCACGGCUAACUACGUGCCAGCAGCCGCGGUAAUACGUAGGUGGCAAGCGUUGUCCGGAAUUAUUGGGCGUAAAGCGCGCGCAGGCGGUUUCUUAAGUCUGAUGUGAAAGCCCCCGGCUCAACCGGGGAGGGUCAUUGGAAACUGGGAAACUUGAGUGCAGAAGAGGAAAGUGGAAUUCCAAGUGUAGCGGUGAAAUGCGUAGAGAUUUGGAGGAACACCAGUGGCGAAGGCGACUUUCUGGUCUGUAACUGACGCUGAGGCGCGAAAGCGUGGGGAGCAAACAGGAUUAGGAUACCCUGGUAGUCCACGCUGUAAACGAUGAGUGCUAAGUGUUAGAGGGUUUCCGCCUUUAGUGCUGAAGUUAACGCAUUAAGCACUCCGCCUGGGGAUACGGUCGCAAGACUGAAACUCAAAUGAAUUGACCGGNUGAGAGNGCGAGACGACGACGAGGAGAGG
rnacentral:rRNA from 1 species